CCAUCAUGGGUGUGACUGUUGCUGUUGUUGUGGCCAUUGCCAUUGCCGAGGCUGCUGCUGUGGUCGUAAUGGCUGUCGCCAUGUUGGUUACUGUGGUUGUUGUUGUUGCCAUAGCCGAUGUGGUCGGAUCAGGAACCUCACUAGUGUAACUAUUUGCUCUGGUAUUGACCAUUAAACCUACUCCAACCUAUAACCUAUACUACUAAUUAAACUUGAUGACAAUUCCAAAUUACCAAAUUCAGCCAACUCAAACUCUAAAUACACUAAUUAUGUCUUCUUCUUUAAACGCAGAUAUGAAAACCAAAAUUCACAAACAAGGUAGAAAGUGUAGUGCAUAUAUCCUACUAUAAGGUGGGGAACAAGUGAGAGAAGAGCAAAUCUAAGCGGAUAAGCGAAGCAUUCUAAGUUUCCAAAUAGGACUUCUCCAAACGUAUCCGGAAACUGCUUUCUCUGCCGUAAUGUAUUGUAUGACCCUGAGAUGCUGUAGUAUAUUGGUAUUACGUUUGCUACCUACGGACAUAACCACACGGCUGUUGUUGAAAACAUAAAGAUAAACCCAACAACGUCUCAUGUGCUUUGGCUCAUGGGUAUGAUUGUAUUAAGCGGACGGACAGGCCCGUCGCAAACGAAAUGCGGAUACCAAAAUCCUUAAACUUCGUGACUUACGGGAGUUAAAGAUUAGUAAAACACCGUGCCACAUCCUGCAUCUAACCAGCUUCCAGUCACCACCAGUUUGGCACGCGAUCCAAGCUUUUGAAAACUUACGAUCGGGACUCAAUCCGGUAACCGAAAUCCGAUCAGUUGCUGGCUGUGGCGAUAAAAUGAUGCGGUCAACCCGAUAACUCGGGCCCCAUGUUGCGGGCGCCAUUCUUGUCGUGGACCCCGGAGUGUCCGAACUGUCUCAGCGGAGAAAGGGGACAUAGUGUGCUGGCGAGCGCUGGCUGUUGGCGUUAGAGCUCCGGCUGUGGCUCAGUCUGGGGCGCGGUUCUUGCCAACACGCCAUGUCCAGAGACAGGUGACCAAAAAUUCAAAUUUCAAACCAGCUCUGGAUGGAAAUGAAAAACACAGGGUCCCACUUAUGUUAAGGCAGGCAUGUCUUUCGCCUUCUUACUCGCACCUUCCGCUAUGGAUUCGCUCUUCAGGGGGCACUGAGACAUCCUACAGUGCCCUGGACGGCCCACCCCAACCAUGGUAUCCGUUGUCCAACAGUUUUGGAUACCCCAGAAUCGUCUCCCCGUUCCCCCUCUACAGCAUGGUGCACUACCCCUUCCUUACCUUAAUGAUCUACUCUUCCAUAGCGAAAUGAGAAUACUAAGCCAAGUGGAAUUUCAUUUCUACGUUAUAAAAGAAAAGUGCCUUUGUUGCGUCUGUCAGAUCGCCGGACUGGAAUGCUUCGACGACGGCUCCCCUGGAUAGCAAGACAAUUUGGUAGCGGAGGUGCCCUGGAUUUCCCUUUUUAUGUUCUUGGUAAGUAUGUAUAGGUAGUUCGUGUAAUGUCUUACCCUCAAUAAAAAUAUAUAAUUUCUUGUUUUUCUUUUUUUUUCUUUUAGCCAACCUGCAGGGACAACAUUAAACGACCAAAGGGUCUUUUAUUUAAAGUGUAUUCCUAGUGCCCUAGAAUGAGCUCACCCUACUUCCUAGGUUGUAUCGUCCGUUCAAUCACCGGACUGCAGAUAUGAAACCCAAUGUCUACCCUGUUUGCUGCCUAAGUUAUUCUGUUUUCUUUUUUUUUUUUAUUUCUUAUAUUUUUAUUCCAGGAUGUGUGUCAAGCUAAGUUUCUCUGUGUAUCGUUCUAAGUAUUGAACAUAUAAAAAGGAGCAUACAUCGGCCUACCUUGGCACCUACGGGCUGCUGGUGCAAAAUUCCCUCGGGGACACUGGAGCAGAUGGCGGCGGUGGAACCAAUGAUGAAGCUGGAGAUGCUGAUGAGAUGAUGAUGUUGUUGAGGAUGGAAAUGUUGACGUUGCCGUGGAUGACGAUGGUUAAAAUUGCAGUAGAGGUGGGUAUUUAUUAUUUGACAAAAAGUUUUUGUUGUUCUGUUUAGUCUUUGCUAUGUUUUAUUCGUGGCUCAAAUUAACGUUCUUUUUCAAAGCUUUUUAUAUUUCACAGGAUCUUUUUUCUUUAGCAUUAAUCAGCACUAAUAAGUUUAUUUAGCUUUAAGUUGAUCUAAAGUAACUUCAGCUUUUUUACUACAAAAGCUAGUCUUUAUUCCUUUCACAAAAAAAAGGAACAUUUAUUUGCUUUUAAAUAAAAAACUUUAUGCCUUUGGCAUCACAUA